GCCUUAAACAAUUAUGGGGGGGGAAAGCUCGGGGAACUCGAUUAAUACCGCAUACGACCUACGGGAGAAAGGGGGAUACUUGUUGCUCUCGCUAUUAGAUGAGCCUAAGUCGGAUUAGCUAGAUGGUGGGGUAAAGGCCUACCAUGGCGACGAUCUGUAGCUGGUCUGAGAGGAUGAUCAGCCACACCGGGACUGAGACACGGCCCGGACUCCUACGGGAGGCAGCAGUGGGGAAUAUUGGACAAUGGGCGAAAGCCUGAUCCAGCCAUGCCGCGUGUGUGAAGAAGGUCUUCGGAUUGUAAAGCACUUUAAGUUGGGAGGAAGGGCAUUAACCUAAUACGUUAGUGUUUUGACGUUACCGACAGAAUAAGCACCGGCUAACUCUGUGCCAGCAGCCGCGGUAAUACAGAGGGUGCAAGCGUUAAUCGGAAUUACUGGGCGUAAAGCGCGCGUAGGUGGCUAAGUCAGCCAGGUGUGAAAGCCCCGGGCUCAACCUGGGAACGGCAUCUGGAACUGCUUGGCUAGAGUGCAGGAGAGGAAGGUAGAAUUCCCGGUGUAGCGGUGAAAUGCGUAGAGAUCGGGAGGAAUACCAGUG
rnacentral:rRNA from 1 species